rnacentral:rRNA from 1 species
UGGGGAAUAUUGCACAAUGGGGGAAACCCUGAUGCAGCGACGCCGCGUGAACGAAGAAGGUAUUCGUAUCGUAAAGUUCUGUCCUAUGGGAAGAUAAUGACAGUACCAUAGAAGAAAGCUCCGGCUAAAUACGUGCCAGCAGCCGCGGUAAUACGUAUGGAGCGAGCGUUGUCCGGAAUUAUUGGGCGUAAAGGGUACGCAGGCAGUUUAAUAAGUCGAAUGUUAAAGAUCGGGGCUCAACCCCGCAAAGCAUUGGAAACUGAUAAACUUGAGUAGUGGAGAGGAAAGUGGAAGUCCUAGUGUAGUGGAGAAAUACGUAGAUAUUAGGAGGAAUACCAGUAGCGAAGGCGACUUUCUGGACACAAACUGACGCUGAGGUACGAAAGCGUGGGGAGCAAACAGG